rnacentral:misc_RNA from 1 species
AGCUCUCAAGCGAGUCUUUCUUCUUUGCAAAGAGAAGAGGCGAGUUUGGAUUUGAACUUUGCUGUGUAACAAGCGGCUGGUUCUAAAAGUAUUAGCUGAUCCUAGUAAGGCUUGGUUCUACUUGGCGUGAUAAUUAUCUAACGUCAAGGACAUUGUUUCUUCAUUGAAAGAAUGGCCAGGCUCUGAUUAGGAUUGCUUCUAAUCGUCUUCAGUGACAAUUUAUUUCAAAU